rnacentral:tRNA from 1 species
GCAUUGGUGGUACAGUGAUAGAAUUCUCACCUUCCAUAUAGGAGGCCCAGGUUUAAAUCUUAGCCAAUGCA